CGCGGGCUUCCCACUGCCGCGGCCCCUCCCGUCGCGGAGCACAGGCUCCGGACGCGCAGGCUCAGCGGCCACGGCUCACGGCCCCAGCCGCUCUGCGGCAUGUGGGAUCCUCCCGGACCGGGGCACGAACCCGCGCCCCCCGCAUCGGCAGGCGGACCCACAACAACUGCGCCACCAGGGAAGCCCUCAUCUUUAUUUUAACAUGGACAUUCUUUGCUUCUGGAGGGACCCCCAAGACGAAAUCAAGUGGAGUGUGUUUUAUGAACCAGCCAGAAAGCAAAGAGAAGCAUGUGGGAUCUUAGUUCCCUGACCAGGGAACAAACUCGCGCCCCCUGCAGUGGAAGCUCGGAGUCAACCACUGGACGGCCAGGGAAGUCUCUGGCAGCUACUUCUUAGGUGUUGGCUUUCUGCAAUAUUGCUUGCUUUCUGUGGGGUCUUGGUCCAUGCCUAAAACAGAGGUUACUGUACCAUUUAGGGCCCUAAAAUGAUUUAAUUAAGUCCUUGGAGUCCUUGUUACAUGUGGACUCCUUCUGUGAUGUUGGUAACUUUUAAUUUUGAAUUGCAUUAUUAAAAUCAACUCAUUUUAGAACAUUUGUGGCGGGGGCGGGGGUGGGGUCCUGGUAGCUUGUUUCCACACCUGCCAUUACAGCACCCAGUGGUUAAUGACACUGUCCUAAUCUUAUUAAAAGCAAAAAAGAAAUAUAUUUACAUCUAAAUUUUAAAUAUCGAUUAAUUUUCAAAAACACUGACAUGAAGAAUGCAAAUUCAAAUGGUCCAAGCUGAGUGAGGAGGAAUUUCGGUCUUGUUAGCUUUUGACACAGUGACCCUGGAUGAAUUUGAGAAGCAGGUGGUUUCAGGCUCUGGGCUCCUAGAAUCCGCUGACGCUCAGGAACUCUGUCAAUUACCAAGAAAAGUAUCUCCGGAUCAGUCCAGACUGGGGUUCGGAUGUGACUGGCAAACUGCUCCUAGAGAGACAAAUUCUCGUGCAACAGGCUCCCUGGUUAGGCUCGGCAAGUGGGAGGUUCUGGGUUUGGGAGGAGGUGAGAGCCAGGGCAUAACUAGGGCGGGGAUGGGGGAGCACGUGGACAGUGGCUUGACUCCUCCAGGGUCCCAGUGUCCACAGAGCAGUCCUACCAUGGUCUAGCUUUCCCUGGCUGACCUUGACCCUCUGGGGUCUGGUGACACCACUUCCUGCCUUUGACAUUUCCAGGCUCCCUCACCAACCCAAUUCCCUGUACUAAAUCUUCCCUACUCAAAAGACCUAGGUUGGUUUCUGUUCACUAAACCCUGACUUAUAAAUCCCCUUGUUUCCAGAAAGAAUUUUUGCAUGGCUUAAGAAGCUGCUGUCAGGGAGCCUUGAGACUUCCUAUGAGGCUGUCCUAGAGGGGACCCAGAUAAACACAGCCCAUGUGACCUGCAGGGCAGAGAACAGAGCAAGGUCAGCGGCCCCUCCCACCCCAUCCAGACCUCAAGCACUCCCUGUCACAUCUACCCUCACUGUUGUCUAAUGGUUUUCUCUAUACUAGGUUCUAUUUUUGUUCUCACUAUAAAAAUAAUAGAUGCUCCUUGUAGAAAAACAAACAGGAGAGAUACAUAUUGCUCCCGGUUCGAACACCCUGAGACAGCUCCGGGGGUCUUGUGAAGUGUCACCCUGCAUUGUAUCCAAAGUAGCACGCAGGGUCCACUGCUGAUUCAUCUAACUCCACUUCCCUGGCAUUGAGGCAAAUCUUUACCAUUUGUGUUUUUUAUAAAUGUAUUUAGUUUAUUUUUUUUUGGCUGCAUUGGGUCUUCGUUGCUGCACGCGGGCUUUCUCUAGUUGCAGCGAGCGGGGGCUACCCUUUGUUGCGGUGCGUGGGCUUCUCAUUGUGGUGGCUUCUCUUGUUGUGGAGCACAGGCUCUAGGCACAUGGGCUCAGUAGUUGUGCUCGCAGGCUCUAGAGUGCAGGCUCAGUAGCUGUGGCUCACGGGCUUAGUUGCUCCACGGCAUGUGGGAUCUUCCCGGACCAGGGCUCGAACCUGUGUCGCCUGCAUUGGCAGGUGGAUUCUUAACCACUGCGCCACCAGGGAAGCCCUAAUCUUUACCAUU